GUAAGCCGUAUGAGGGAAAACCUCAUGUACGGUUUGAAGAGGAUUGUCUGGUAACUCAUUCGAGUUACCAGCUUUUACUCAAC
rnacentral:ncRNA from 1 species